rnacentral:lncRNA from 1 species
CCUCUGCUCCACUUCUCAUUAGAAAGAGUUUUUUGCUGCAGUGCUGGUGCAGUUUUUGUUGCUUGAAUGUUGCCACCCCACCCAAAUCGGGUUGCUCAUUUAAUUGCAUAGCUUUGCACUCCUGGUGCCGUUCCUUCAGCAACCACUCUUCGUCUUUCUCUCUCUCUCUCCCUCUCUUGCCAGCCCAUUCCGUUGUGCCAAAACAAAUUGUGAGAAAAAUGCCCAGCAACACAAAAUGUGCGUGCUACAUAAAUUAAAACCUAUGCUUCAGUGGUCCGGCCUAGGAAAAGAGAACCGUGGUACAGAAGAUAGACAGCGACGAAGGGCAUACGGCUGCUGUUACACGAUACGUUUUCCACCGAUUGUAUCUUGUCAUUCGUAAUAAUCGCGCCGUGGAUCACAAACAAAUCUACCAAAACCUAAAAUCUGUUGCUAGCUUUGAGUUUUUCAACUGUUUCAUCGUUUAAAGAAAACGUACUUAGUUGGACAUUUUGCUUUGAUCGGCUUUGAAUCAGAGAACAACAUUUCGUAAACACCAGCUUAAUCCCCAUCAGUGCAUACAAAGUUUUUAUCGCUAAC